rnacentral:lncRNA from 9 species
UAUCACCACCUUGCAAAUGGGUAUGAUUUUCUUUGUUGUUGUUCUCUGUUUUUACUGAAGUUAUGUAUGCACAGAUUUUGAAGUGUCAGAUUGUUCCAAGUUUUGUGAUGGCAAUAGCCAUCUCCCCAGCCCCAGCCCCUCCCUGGAGGCAACUGCUUUCAAUAAUGGCGGCAGAUUAUUUAGAAAAUAAUUUCACAGUGAGAAUAUAGAUUGUUUCGCUUUACCUGUUCUUUGAUGUUACAGAAAUGGGAUCACAGGGCUGUGACUUGCUUCUUCCACAUACUGUGAAGGUGGGUUUUCUUUUAAUUACUUUUUUAAAACCAAGUAUGCUUUAUGUACAAUAAAUGCACAGAUGCUCAACAUACAGUUCGAUACGUUUUGACAAAUAAAUACGCCCACGUAACUGUAUACCAAACUCCGGAACAUUUCCACCCGCCCAGAAAGUCCCCCGUACACCUUUGCAGUCAGUCCCCUUUCAUGAAGCCAUCACUUUUCUGAUUUCUUUCAUCAUGGGUUAGAUUUACCUGUGCUAGAACUUUCUAUUUGGCAUCAUACAGUAGGAACUCUUUUGUGCCUGGCUUCUUUUGCUUAAAAUGAUAUCUUUGAAAUUCAUGCAGAACUUUAUUCCUUUUAACUACCAAGUAGUAUUCUAUUGUAUGAGAAUAUUACCCCCCCCUUUUUUUUAUCAGUUGACUUGUUGAUGCUCAGUUGCUUCCAUUUUGGGGGUCUAUUGAGUUGCCUUUUUAUUAUUGAUUCGUAAAAGUUAUGCAUAUUCUAGCUAACAAGUUCUUUGUCAGAACUAGGCUUUGCAAAUAUCUUUCCCAGUCUGUGUUUUAUCUUUUCAUCUUCUUAAUGGUGCCAUUCAAUGAGUGGAAAUUUAUAAUUUUGAUUAUGUUCAUUUUUUGGAUUUUUUUAGUGACUCGUGCUUUUUGUAUCCCGUCAGAGGACUCUGCCGACGAGGAGACUGUGCCGAUAUUCUCUGACAUUCCCCUUUAGAAAGCACUGAAGCUGUUUCUAGUUUCAAAUUGUGCAGGAAGGCUUCCUAUCGAAAUCUAAUUUUUGUGUAUGGUGCGAGGUCAAGGUUCUUUUUUUUUUUUAAUGUGGACGUACAGUUGAUCUAGCAUCAUUUGUUAGGAAAGUUUUCCUUUCUCCAUUGAGUGAGUGUUUGUGUGUGUGUAUUUCAGGACUUUCUUCUGCCUCACUAACUUGUUUAUCUAUCUUUAUGUAGGUAACAGUGUCUUAAUUAUUAUGGUUUUUAAGCACUCUUUAAAAGCAGGUAGGAUAAGUUAAAUUCGUUCUUCUUUCUAAGGUUAUUUUUACCAUUCUUCAUCUUUUGCAUUUUCAUGUACAUAUAUAAUCAGCUUGUUAAUUUCUAUUCCAAGCCUCAUGGAAUUUCAGUUGGGACUGCACUGAAUUUAUAUAUCAAUUGCACUGAAAUUGUAGAUCAAUUUUAGCAAUAUCAAUUUUUCCCAUCCUUAAGUUAUAUGGCUUAAGUUUUUAUUUAAUAACUUUCUAUGAUAUGUAGUAGUUUUUAUUUUAUAUUUUCAUAUUUUUAUUUUAUUUUUUGUCUUUUUAGGGCUACACCUGUGGCAUAUGGAGGGUCCCAGGCUAGGGGUUGAGUUGGAGCUACAGCUGCCAACCUACACCAAAGCCACAGCAAUGCCAGAUCCAAGCCACGUCUGCCACCUAUACCACAGCUCAUGGCAAUGCCAGAUCCUUAACCCACUGAGCAAGGCCAGGGAUUGAACCUGCAUCCUCAUGGAUGCUAGUCAGAUUUGUUUUCACUGAACCACGAUGGGAACUUCUGUAGUAGUUUUUAGAAUAUGAGUUUUACCUAUCUUUAUUUUUGAGUAUUUUAUGUUUUUCCUAUAGUUAUAAAUGAAUUGCUCUUUAAUUUUGUUUUCUUAGAGUUUUCUAGGAAAAUAUUAAAAUAUAAUAUUAUGUAUAUUGACCUUAAUUCCUAUAACUUUGCUAAAUUCGCUUCUUAGUUCUAGUCGUUUUGGGGGGGUAGAUUUCGUAGACGGUUUUAUAUUAGUUUGGGUCAACUGCAAAAAAAAUAUUUUGCUUCUUUUUAAAAAGAUUUGUAUACCAUUUUUUUCUUACAUUGUUGUGCUAGAUAGGGCUUCCAGUAUAUUGUUGAAUAGACAUGGAGAGAGUGGAUAUCUUGUUCCCGAACUAAGAAGCAUUCAGUAUUUCACCAUUAAGUGUGACACUAACUGUUGUUUCUUCGUAUAUGCCUAUGAUCAUGUUGAUGAAAUUCCUUUCUUUUCCGAUUGUUUUGAGAAUUUUUUUUUUCAUGAAUGGGUGUGACAUUUUGUCAAAAAUGUUUUCAUAUCAACUGAGAUGUUAUUUUUUUCUCUUUGAUUCUGUUCAUGUGAUGAAUUACAACUAUUGAUUUGAUAAUGCAAAACCAACCUUAUAAUCCUGGCAUAAGCUCCACUUAUUAAUAACAUUUAUCAUUUUCAUAUAAUGCUGAAUUUGAUUUGUUAAUAUUUUACUGAAGACUUUGUGUAUUUAUUCAUGUAGGAUACUGGUCUAUAAUUUUCUUGUAGUGUCUUUGUCAGGUUUUGGUAACAGAGUUAUUAUCCUGGCCUCAUUAAACUAUGUGAAAAGCAUUUUAUUCUAUUUUCGCAAAGAGUUGGUAUAACUGUGGUAUUAGUUCUGUCCUUAAACCUUUGAUAGAAUUUGUGAGUAAAGCCAUCUGGGCUUGGGGUUUUCUUUGUUGAAAGGUUUUUAAUUAUGAAUUCAGUUUUGAAAAUGGAUAUAAAGCUCUUUGAAUUUUUUAUGUCUUCUUGUGCUAAUUUUGGUAAGAUGUGCUUUUCGAGGAAUUUGUCCACUUGCUCUAAGCUGUUGAAUUUAUAGGCAUAAAAUCAUUAAUGUUUUUGUCUUCUUGGAGAAUUGAAUCCCUUUUCAUUAUGUAAUAAGCCUCUCUAUCACUGGUAAUAUUUCUUGUCUGAAGCCUACCUACUUUGAUAGUAAUAAAGCUCCUUCAGCUUUCUUUUGAGUAGUGUCUGUAUGGAGUAUCUUUUUUUCAUCCUUUUGCACUUAAUCUUUUUAUGUCUUUAUAUUCAAAGUGGAUUCUUACAGGCAAUAUAUAGUUGGGUCCAGCUUUUUAUCUAAUCUAACAAUCUAUCUUUGAAUUAGUGUGGCUUACAUUUAAUGUGAUUAUUGAUACGGUUGAAUUAAAAUCUGCCGUCUAGCCAGCUGUUUUCUGUUUGUUCCAUUUGUUCUUUGUUUCCUUUUUCCUUUCUUUUUCCCUCCUUUUUGAUUAAUUGAGCUUUUUUUUUUUUAUGAUUCAGUGUUAUUUCCACUGUUGGGAUUAUCAUGUGUACCUCCUUUGAAAAAAAUUUAGUAGUUACUUUAGGGUUUUAUUUAAUCAAAGUCUACAUUCAAAUAAUAUCCUGUUUCAUGUCUAGUAUAAGGGCAAUGAUAUAUCCCCAAUUUCUCCCUCUCAUUCUUGUUCUAUUAUUGCUGCAUAUUUACUCUUGCAUAUGCUAUAAAUACACAAUACUACUUUUCUCUUUUUUUUUAGGGCUGCACCCACGGCAUGUAGAAUUUCCCAGGCUAGGGGUCGAAUUGGAGCUACAGCUGCCAGCCUAGGCCACAGCCACAGCAAUGCAGGACCAGGCCACAUCUGCGACCUACACCACAGCUCGUGGCAACCCUGGAUCCCUGACCUACUGAAUGAGGCCAGGGAUCAAACCCACAUCUUCAUGGAUACUAGCGGGACUUGUUUCCACUGCGCCACAACAGAAAUUCCAAUACUACUAUUUUUGCUUUAGGUAGUUAUCUUUCAGAGCAAUUAAAAAUAAUAAAAAAAUGAAAUUUUAACUUUGUGUACCUUAAGUUAUUCCAUUUCUAAUGCUCUUAAUUUCUUUGUGUAGAUUCACAUGUCUGUCUGCUACUAUAAUAUUCCUUCUGUCUGAACAACUUUCUUUAACAUUACUUGUAGUGUGGGUCUACUGACAAUGAAUUCAUUCAGAUUUGUUUUUUGUUUGGGGUUCAGGAAAGCCUUUAUUUCUCCUUUUUUUUUUUUUUUUUUUUAAAGCUUCUCCUGCAGCAUGCAGAAGUUCCCAGGCCAGGGAUCAAAUCCACACCAUAGAAGCAACCAGAGUGACUCUCCUUUCUUCUUGAAAGACAUUUUUGCUGGGUAUAGGAUUCUGACUUGAUAGGUUUUUGUUGUUGUUCAGCUACAGAGACCUCAUUCCUCAUCUUCUAUGUAGUGUAGUUUCUGGAGAAGUCUGCUGUAACACUUUCAUUUUUAUUUCUCUGUGUGUUACUUGUCCUUUUUUCUGGCUGCCUCAUAACUUCCAUUGUCUCUGGUUUUCAGCAGCUUGAAUAUGAUAUGCCUGUGGUAUGGGAUUGCUUUUGGGAGGGGAACAUUUAUUCUGCUUGGUGUUUUUUGAAUGUCUUGGAAUUGUUUAGUGUCUGUCAUUCAUUUUAGAAAAUUCUUGUGUAUUUUCCCUUGCGUUUUUUUCUUCCCAGAUGCCACUUGCACAUAGGUUGGAUCUUCUGGUAUUGUCCCCUAUCUCCUGGGUGCUCUGUUGUGUUUUUUACCCACUGCCUCUCCUUCCUCACUGUUCUGCAGUUCAUACCAGCACUGUUUUAAAUCCAGUGUCCACAUAUGUGAGGGUCAGACUGAAGAAACUUUGUCACUGUUGUGUCCUCUCUUACUCUCCAAAUCCUGUGGGUUUAUCCCUUUAAAAGAUUGUUUUCUGCCAUUACAGCCUCUUGGAAGGGAGUCAGAGUAGAUGCACAUAGGCCGUCUGCCAUCUUUAUAUGGAGAUGAAGAUAAACAGAGCACAGAAGAUUAAGUAAUUUUUCCAAAGAUGCAGAAAUAGAAAAUGACAGAACUUGGCUUCUUAGCCACUAUAUUCUAGCUGCCUCCAACACAUGGGAAGAUAGUAGCUUUCAGGGAACAAAAUUAUUCAUCUUGAUACAGCAAGUCUUCAAUGAUGUCAAUAGGAAAACAGCCACAGCCAUGCUAAAGGCUUCAAGCACCACCGGUUUUGUCCAGAGGAGGCCAUGGUUAUUCUGGUGAAGUACAAGGCCGAGGUCAUUUUGAGCUGUCACUCUCUUGAGGGUCCGAGUCUAUGAAGCAGAGUAAGCUCAGGACCUACAGCACUGGACCUCUAGGAGGGCAACCUCACCAGCAGAUGAGGUCAUGAUGGAUGAUUCCUAAUUAUGGAGUCCUUUUCAUCUCUCAGUUUAUAUUCUGAGUUUCUACCUAGAAUAAAUUCUAC